rfam:Medicago truncatula strain A17 chromosome 1, whole genome shotgun sequence.
UUGGUUUAAAUCAUUGCGGAUCUACACUUUGGAAAUAGAACUCGCAUAAAGUGGUGGGACAUACAUUGAUUUCAUCCAA